rnacentral:rRNA from 1 species
AUUGAACGCUGGCGGCAUGCCUUACACAUGCAAGUCGAACGGCAGCAUGAUCUAGCUUGCUAGAUUGAUGGCGAGUGGCGAACGGGUGAGUAAUACAUCGGAACGUGCCCUGUAGUGGGGGAUAACUAGUCGAAAGAUUAGCUAAUACCGCAUACGACCUGAGGGUGAAAGUGGGGGACAGCAAGCCCUCAUGCUAUAGGAUCGGCCGAUGUCUGAUUAGCUAGUUGGUGAGGUAAAGGCUCACCAAGGCGACGAUCAGUAGCUGGUCUGAGAGGACGAUCAGCCACACUGGGACUGAGACACAGCCCAGACUCCUACGGGAGGCAGCAGUGGGGAAUUUUGGACAAUGGGGGCAACCCUGAUCCAGCAAUGCCGCGUGUGUGAAGAAGGCCUUCGGGUUGUAAAGCACUUUUGUCCGGAAAGAAAUCGCACUUACUAAUAUUAGGUGUGGAUGACGGUACCGGAAGAAUAAGGACCGGCUAACUACGUGCCAGCCGCCGCCGUAACAC